AUUCCAGCUCCAAUAGCGUAUACUAAAGUUGUUGCAGUUAAAAAGCUCGUAGUUGAAUUUCUGGUCUCGGGCUUCGGUCUGCCUCAAACGAGGUACGCACCAGUUGUCUGAAUCCAUCCUCGGGGAGAACAUAUGUGUCAUUAAUUUGAUGUGUAUGGGAUCCUCGUCAUUUACUGUGAGCAAAAUAGAGUGUUCAAAGCAGGCUUAUGCCGUUGAAUACAUUAGCAUGGAAUAAUAAGAUAAGACCUUGGUCUAUUUUGUUGGUUUGUACUCCAAGGUAAUGAUUAAUAGGGAUAGUUGGGGGUAUUCGUAUUCAAUUGUCAGAGGUGAAAUUCUUGGAUUUAUGGAAGACGAACUACUGCGAAAGCAUUUACCAAGGAUGUUUUCAUUA
rnacentral:rRNA from 1 species